rnacentral:rRNA from 1 species
AGACCCGAAACCCGGUGAUCUAGCCAUGGGCAGGUUGAAGGUUGGGUAACACUAACUGGAGGACCGAACCGACUAAUGUUGAAAAAUUAGCGGAUGACCUGUGGCUGGGGGUGAAAGGCCAAUCAAACCGGGAGAUAGCUGGUUCUCCCCGAAAGCUAUUUAGGUAGCGCCUCGUGAAUUCAUCUCCGGGGGUAGAGCACUGUUUCGGCUAGGGGGCCAUCCCGGCUUACCAACCCGAUGCAAACUGCGAAUACCGGAGAAUGUUAUCACGGGAGACACACGGCGGGUGCUAACGUCCGUCGUGAAGAGGGAAACAACCCAGACCGCCAGCUAAGGUCCCAAAGUCAUGGUUAAGUGGGAAACGAUGUGGGAAGGCCCAGACAGCCAGGAUGUUGGCUUAGAAGCAGCCAUCAUUUAAAGAAAGCGUAAUAGCUCACUGGUCGAGUCGGCCUGCGCGGAAGAUGUAACGGGGCUAAACCAUGCACCGAAGCUGCGGCAGCGAACGUAUCACCCAAGACAACUUUACGGAGUUGACGAUUGACGGAGCGAAGCGACGUCAAAGCGUUCAUUAAAGUCGAGUUGGCUUAGGGAUACGUUCGUUGGGUAGGGGAGCGUUCUGUAAGCCUGUGAAGGUGUGUCGUGAGGCAUGCUGGAGGUAUCAGAAGUGCGAAUGCUGACAUAAGUAACGAUAAAGCGGGUGAAAAGCCCGCUCGCCGGAAGACCAAGGGUUCCUGUCCAACGUUAAUCGGGGCAGGGUGAGUCGACCCCUAAGGCGAGGCCGAAAGGCGUAGUCGAUGGGAAACGGGUUAAUAUUCCCGUACUUGGUGUUACUGCGAAGGGGGGACGGAGAAGGCUAUGUUGGCCGGGCGACGGUUGUCCCGGUUUAAGCGUGUAGGUGUGUGUUCCAGGUAAAUCCGGUUCACUUUAACACUGAGGCGUGACGACGAGGCACUACGGUGCUGAAGCAACAAAUGCCCUGCUUCCAGGAAAAGCCUCUAAGCAUCAGGUAACACGAAAUCGUACCCCAAACCGACACAGGUGGUCAGGUAGAGAAUACCAAGGCGCUUGAGAGAACUCGGGUGAAGGAACUAGGCAAAAUGGUGCCGUAACUUCGGGAGAAGGCACGCUGACACGUAGGUGAAGUGAUUUACUCAUGGAGCUGAAGUCAGUCGAAGAUACCAGCUGGCUGCAACUGUUUAUUAAAAACACAGCACUGUGCAAACACGAAAGUGGACGUAUACGGUGUGACGCCUGCCCGGUGCCGGAAGGUUAAUUGAUGGGGUCAGCGUAAGCGAAGCUCCUGAUCGAAGCCCCGGUAAACGGCGGCCGUAACUAUAACGGUCCUAAGGUAGCGAAAUUCCUUGUCGGGUAAGUUCCGACCUGCACGAAUGGCGUAAUGAUGGCCAGGCUGUCUCCACCCGAGACUCAGUGAAAUUGAACUCGCUGUGAAGAUGCAGUGUACCCGCGGCAAGACGGAAAGACCCCGUGAACCUUUACUAUAGCUUGACACUGAACAUUGAGCCUUGAUGUGUAGGAUAGGUGGGAGGCUUUGAAGUGUGGACGCCAGUCUGCAUGGAGCCGACCUUGAAAUACCACCCUUUAAUGUUUGAUGUUCUAACGUGGACCCGUAAUCCGGGUUGCGGACAGUGUCUGGUGGGUAGUUUGACUGGGGCGGUCUCCUCCUAAAGAGUAACGGAGGAGCACGAAGGUUGGCUAAUCCUGGUCGGACAUCAGGAGGUUAGUGCAAUGGCAUAAGCCAGCUUGACUGCGAGCGUGACGGCGCGAGCAGGUGCGAAAGCAGGUCAUAGUGAUCCGGUGGUUCUGAAUGGAAGGGCCAUCGCUCAACGGAUAAAAGGUACUCCGGGGAUAACAGGCUGAUACCGCCCAAGAGUUCAUAUCGACGGCGGUGUUUGGCACCUCGAUGUCGGCUCAUCACAUCCUGGGGCUGAAGUAGGUCCCAAGGGUAUGGCUGUUCGCCAUUUAAAGUGGUACGCGAGCUGGGUUUAGAACGUCGUGAGACAGUUCGGUCCCUAUCUGCCGUGGGCGCUGGAGAACUGAGGGGGGCUGCUCCUAGUACGAGAGGACCGGAGUGGACGCAUCACUGGUGUUCGGGUUGUCAUGCCAAUGGCACUGCCCGGUAGCUAAAUGCGGAAGAGAUAAGUGCUGAAAGCAUCUAAGCACGAAACUUGCCCCGAGAUGAGUUCUCCCUGAGACUUAGAGUCUCCUGAAGGAACGUUGAAGACGACGACGUUGAUAGGCCGGGUGUGUAAGCGCAGCGAUGCGUUGAGCUAACCGGUACUAAUGAACCGUG